CUGAGGAGAAGACCAGACCAGACCCGCUCAGAGGUUUUGGAAAACUUCGCUUAGCUUUUUGCCGGAACAACUGUAAUCGCUAACUGCAAUCAACUCAAAAGGUUUAUCUCGCUCGACUGCCUCCGAUCCGUCCCGAUCCGACCCGAUCCGAUCCGCUCUCGUUCUCUUUCUCAGUGUAUGGUCUCACUUUUUGGAUCAUGAUUGCAUUAUCUCUACGCCAGAGGCAUUAUCUGGCGCUGGGCAGACGUCAGACGACCAGGCAUUUGCAUAUCAAAACGGUGAAACGGAUACGCCCGAGACAUCGGUGGUAGCGACACGUGUCAUGUGUGUGUGAGGAGGCGUUGCCAAAGAAAUGCCUUCUCUGCUUAUUCGCAACCGACUGUCUGGCGGUGGACUAUGCGGCUAUAUUUAAUAGAAUGACUGUAUGCUAAGAGGGCCAGCAAAGCGGGGAGGCGCGUGAAUUUUCUCGAAAUCUGAUGCUAAAUUGCGCGCCAAUCAUCUUUGUAAGCAAUAUGUAUUCAAACAGUAUGCUGAAUAAAGGAAGGUACAAAUUGCAGUGCAGCUUUAA